CGCUCUUUGUUAGUAUAUUAAUAUAUAAAGAGUCGUGCCUGCUCAAUGAUUUUUUAAAUUAAAUAGCCGCGGUACCCUGACCGUGCAAAGGUAGCAUAAUCAUUUGCCUCAUAAUUGGAGGCUGGAAUGAAUGGCUUGACGAAGGCUUAACUGUCUUUUUAUUUUUAAUUGUAAAUUAAUUUUUAGGUGAAGAAGCUUAAAUGAGGAAAAGGGACGAGAAGACCCUAUUGAGUUUUAGUUUUUUAUAUUUAAGUUUGUUGUAUAUUAAUAGAAUGACUUGUAAUUAUGAAGCUUUAGUUGGGGCAACUGAGGAAUAUAAAGAAACUUCCUUAAUUUUAUAUAAAAUUAUUAUUAUUGAUCCACUGUAUAUAGUGAUUAGUAGAUAUAAUUACCAUAGGGAUAACAGCGUAAUUUUUUCUGAGAGUUCUAAUCGAAGAAGAAGAUUGCGACCUCGAUGUUGGACUAAGGGAUUCUUAGAGGAGCAAAAAUUUCUAAAGUAAGUCUGUUCGACUUUUAAAACCUUACA
rnacentral:rRNA from 1 species